rnacentral:rRNA from 1 species
UACGUAGGGACCGAGCGUUGUCCGGAAUUAUUGGGCGUAAAGAGCUUGUAGGCGGUUUGUCGCGUCUGCUGUGAAAAUCCGGGGCUCAACCCCGGACUUGCAGUGGGUACGGGCAGACUAGAGUGUGGUAGGGGAGACUGGAAUUCCUGGUGUAGCGGUGAAAUGCGCAGAUAUCAGGAGGAACACCGGUGGCGAAGGCGGGUCUCUGGGCCGAUACUGACGCUGAGGAGCGAAAGCGUGGGGAGCGAACAGG